CAAUAGCGUAUAUUAAAGUUGUUGCAGUUAAAAAGCUCGUAGUUGGAUUUGUGGCGUACGUUCGGCUCCCUUCGCCAUUGUGUGUCGGUUUGCCUAGCGUUGCCAUCCUUGGGUGGAAUCUGUGUGGCAUUAGGUUGUCGUGCAGGGGAUACCCAUCGUUUACUGUGAGAAAAUUAGAGUGUUCAAAGCAGGCUUAUGCCGUUGAAUAUAUUAGCAUGGAAUAAUAAGAUAGGACCUUGGUACUAUUUUGUUGGUUUGCGCACCGAGGUAAUGAUUAAUAGGGAUGGUUGGGGUUAUUCGUAUUUCAUUGUCAGAGGUGAAAUUCUUGGAUUUUUGAAAGACGAACUACUGCGAAAGCAUUUAACAAGGAUGUUUUCAUUAAUCAAGAACGAAAGUUAGGGGAUCGAAGAUGAUUAGAUACCAU
rnacentral:rRNA from 1 species